rnacentral:rRNA from 1 species
UUCCGGUUGAUCCUGCCGGACCUGUCUGCUAUCGGAUUGAUACUAAGCCAUGCGAGUCAUUGUAGCAAUACAAGGCAUACGGCUCAGUAACGCGUAGUCAACCUAACCUAUGGACGGGAAUAACCUCGGGAAACUGAGAAUAAUGCCCGAUAGAACACUAUACCUGGAAUGGUUUGUGUUCCAAAUGAUUUAUCGCCGUAGGAUGGGACUGCGGCCUAUCAGUUUGUUGGUGAGGUAAUGGCCCACCAAGACUAUUACAGGUACGGGCUCUGAGAGGAGUAGCCCGGAGAUGGGUACUGAGACACGGACCCAGGCCCUAUGGGGCGCAGCAGGCGAGAAAACUUUGCAAUGUGCGAAAGCACGACAAGGUUAAUCCGAGUGAUUUGUGCUAAACGAAUCUUUUGUUAGUUCUAGAAAUACUAACGAAUAAGGGGUGGGCAAGUUCUGGUGUCAGCCGCCGCGGUAAAACCAGCACCUCAAGUGGUCAGGAUGAUUAUUGGGCCUAAAGCAUCCGUAGCCGGCUCUGUAAGUUUUCGGUUAAAUCUGUACGCUUAACGUACAGGCUGCCGGGAAUACUGCAGAGCUAGGGAGUGGGAGAGGUAGACGGUACUCGGUAGGGAGGGGUAAAAUCCUUUGAUCUAUUGAUGACCACCUGUGGCGGAGGCGGUCUACCAGAACACGUCCGACGGUGAGGGAUG